UCUGUUUGAUCCCGGCGGAGGUUACUGCUAUCGAGGUUCGACUAAGCCAUGCGAGUCGAAUGUAGCAAUACAUGGCGUACUGCUCAGUAACACGUGGACAACCUACCCUUAGGUCGGGGAUAAACCCGGGAAACUGGGUAUAAUACCCGAUAGUCCUCGGAUGCUGGAAUGCACCGAGGUCUAAAGCUCCGGCGCCUAAGGAUGGGUCUGCGGCCUAUCAGGUAGUAGUGGGUGUAGCGUACCUACUAGCCUACGACGGGGUACGGGUUGUGAGAGCAAGAGCCUGGAGAUGGAUUCUGAGACACGAACCCAGGCCCUACGGGGUGCAGCAGGCGCGAAAACUUUACAAUGCUGGAAACAGCGAUAAGGGGACCUUGAGUGCCAGGUUACAAAUCUGGCUGUCGUGAUGCCUAAAAAGCAUUGCAUAGCAAGGGCCGGGCAGGACCGGUGCCAGCCGCCGCGGUAACACCGGCGGCUCGAGUGGUAACCGCUAUUAUUGGGUCUAAAGGGUCUGUAGCCGGCCGGAUAAGUCUUUUGGGAAAUCUGGCAGCUUAACUGUCAGGCUUUCAGAGGAUACUGUCUGGCUCGAGGCCGGGAGAGGUGAGAGGUACUUCAGGGGUAGGGGUGAAAUCUUGUAAUCCUUGAAGGACCACCAGUGGCGAAGGCGUCUCACCAGAACGGACCUGACGGCAAGGGAC
rnacentral:rRNA from 1 species